GUCCAAGCUUUGUUUUAUUUUGGCGGCUACAGACGGAGCGGAGAGCUGCUGGACCUUCAGACCAGAAGCAGAAUGGAGGAGCAGAACCAGAACCAGGACCAGAACCCCACGAGGAGGAACAAAGCGGGACCAUCCUUUGAUACCACCGGUCGGCAGUAAAAGUUUGUUCUGAAGGAGUGCUACGUU